AGACCAAUCCCCAGCAGUUCACUAUGGUAACUGAAACAACUGAAAAUAACUACCAAGUGGGCUUGCCUUUCAGGAUGCUAAAACUUUCUAGAGCUCCGUAGAGCUAGGGCCAAUAAUAUCAGCCUCCAACGUUGAUGAAAAUGCUUGCUGACACCCACCUGGCACAAGCACAUUCAUGCCUAGCCAGCUGGACUGUAUCAAGAGGACAAGCUGAAGCACCAGAAGGUGAAGAAAUUGAUGCUAUUUAUGGGAACAAUCUGCAGCCACCUCUCUGUCACAGGUCUGGGAGAAAAGUGAUGCUCAGAGACCGGGAGAAAGCAGCCACCCAGCUUCUGCAAGUUUGCAUGAGAGCCAGAGCGGGGCAGUAGGCUUGCAAAUGUACCUUGUAGGAAGUAAUUUCUACCUUGUAGGGAGUAAUUUCAUUGCUCAUUACACAUGGGGAAUCCUCAAAGAGAGGAAAGAACAGAUGAUGAAUCCAGAUUAAAAAUUAGAGAAACUGGUGCAGCCAAAGAUAAGACAGGAUUGGCAGAGAUUGCGGCAAAUUUCUGGAGGCCCCUGAGAUACCGAAAGCCAAGGCUCCAACGAUGCUUCCCACGAUGCUCCCUCCCCCUUGUCCUUAUCAUUUUCUUGGUCCUUAGCUGUACCCUGCAAGGUCUUCCCUCCACAGGGAAGCUAACCCAGCAGAUGUUGGUCAAGCAUGACCUCUAUGUGGACACAUGGAAGUGAAGGGUACACAGGUCAGAUUAAUUAGAACCUUGGAAGCUUUCGACAGUGUCUUAGAGCUCCAUUGCUGGGAAGAGACACUGUGACCAAGGCUGCUCUUAGGAGAACAAGUCAUUAGGGCAGGCUUAGAGUUUCAGAGGUUCAGUCCAUUAUCAUCAUGGUGGAUCGCAUGGCAUUGUGCAGGCAGACUUGGUGCUGGAGGAGCCAUGAAAUCUUCAUCUUGGUCUGAAGGCAGCUAGGAGGAGACUGGAUUUCUGCACUGGGCAGAGCUAGAGCGUGUGGUUUCUGCUAACCUGCUUUAAGCUCUGGGCGGACCAUGUUACCAGCACCACCCUAGUUCCAUUGGAUCUUUGGAUGAAACAUACACACACACACACACACACACACACACACACACACACACACAGGCACACACAUGCAGAGCUCAAUUUUAACCUGCCUUUAUGGCUUAGAGGCUGGGCUCUUCUAAGCCUCCCUCGGCUACUGUGGUUCAGGGGCUGGGUUUUACUAAGCCGCCUGUGGCUAUCGUGCCUUUUCCUUUACUCCUUGCUCAACACUCUCUGUCUUUAGCUUAGUUGUCCAAUUACCUUCUUGCUCAACACCCUACAUCUGCCCUCAGCUUAGUUAUGUCUCUAAUCUCCUGCCUGGGGAAGCAGCCAAUGGAUACUCCACCCAAGAUCUCACAUGGCUGCUGACUCUCUCUUCUUCCAAAGCAUGGAGAAUUCCCUCUCCUCCCCCUACUUCUCCUAGCCUGCCUGAGGGAACCUGAAAGUCGCACCACUUCCUCCCAGCCCUUAGCUUCAGACAUCGUUAUUGAUCGAACAAGAACCAAUUGGAGAACAGGACCUUCAGUGGUCACAAGCAAAUUCCUAAUCAAAGCAUCAGAGCCAUCCCCUACAAUGGAGAGAGCUUGAGCAUAGGAAGCAUCAAAGUCCUCCCCAGCAGUGACACCAUUUCUCCAACACCUCCUAAUAUUGCCCUUUCCUGUUGGCCAAACAUUUAAACACAUGAAUUUAUGGGAGCCAUGCCUAUUCAAUCCACCACAAGCACCAUAAAGAAAGAUGAAGGUAUCUCUUCCCAGAAAAAAAAAUCUAGAUGAAAUGUUAUUUCGAGGAUGACAUGAACUUAUAUGCUAAGAUUAAAAUAACCUCCUUUUACACUAUGAAAUUCAAAUUUUACUAAUUAAAGAUGAACAUUUCUGUC